ACGUAGGGUGCAAGCGUUGUCCGGAAUUACUGGGUGUAAAGGGAGCGCAGGCGGACCGGCAAGUUGGAAGUGAAAUCCAUGGGCUCAACCCGUGAAUUGCUUUCAAAACUGCUGGCCUUGAGUAGUGCAGAGGUAGGUGGAAUUCCCGGUGUAGCGGUGGAAUGCGUAGAUAUCGGGAGGAACACCAGUGGCGAAGGCGACCUACUGGGCACCAACUGACGCUGAGGCUCGAAAGCAUGGGUAGCAAACAG
rnacentral:rRNA from 1 species